AGUGAACGCUGGCGGUAGGCCUAACACAUGCAAGUCGAACGGCAGCACAGUAAGAGCUUGCUCUUACGGGUGGCGAGUGGCGGACGGGUGAUGAAUACAUCGGAAUCUACUUUUUCGUGGAGGAUAACGUAGGGAAACUUACGCUAAUACCGCAUACGACCUACGGGUGAAAGCAGGGGAUCUUCGGACCUUGCGCGAUUGAAUGAGCCGAUGUCGGAUUAGCUAGUUGGCGGGGUAAAGGCCCACCAAGGCGACGAUCCGUAGCUGGUCUGAGAGGAUGAUCAGCCACACUGGAACUGAGACACGGUCCAGACUCCUACGGGAGGCAGCAGUGGGGAAUAUUGGACAAUGGGCGCAAGCCUGAUCCAGCCAUACCGCGUGGGUGAAGAAGGCCUUCGGGUUGUAAAGCCCUGUUGUUGGGAAAGAAAAGCAGCAGGUUAAUACCCCGCUGUUCUGACGGUACCCAAAGAAUAAGCACCGGCUAACUUCGUG
rnacentral:rRNA from 1 species